rnacentral:rRNA from 1 species
UACGGAGGGUGCAAGCGUUGUCCGGAUUUAUUGGGUUAAGGGUGCGUAGGUGGCCUUGUAAGUCCGUGGUGAAAGCCUCUCGCUUAACGAGAGACUGCCAUGGAUACUGCAAGGCUUGAGUCCAGACGAGGUUGGCGGAAUGGAUGGUGUAGCGGUGAAAUGCAUAGAUACCAUCCAGAACCCCGAUUGCGUAGGCAGCUGACUAGGCUGGUACUGACACUGAGGCACGAAAGCGUGGGGAGCGAACAGG